AUUGAACGCUGGCGGAAUGCUUUACACAUGCAAGUCGAGCGGCAGCACGGGGGCAACCCUGGUGGCGAGCGGCGAACGGGUGAGUAAUACAUCGGAACAUGCCCAGUCGUGGGGGAUAACACUUCGAAAGAAGUGCUAAUACCGCAUACGUCCUGAGGGAGAAAGCGGGGGAUCUUCGGACCUCGCGCGAUUGGAGUGUCCGAUGUCAGAUUAGCUAGUUGGUGGGGUAAAGGCCUACCAAGGCAACGAUCGGUAGCUGGUCUGAGAGGAUGAUCAGCCACACUGGGACUGAGACACGGCCCAGACUCCUACGGGAAGCAGCAGUGGGGAAUUUUGGACAAUGGGGGCAACCCUGAUCCAGCCAUUCCGCGUGAGUGAAGAAGGCCUUCGGGUUGUAAAGCUCUUUCGGCAGGAACGAAACGGCGAGCUCUAACAUAGCUUGCUAAUGACGGUACCUGAAGAAGAAGCACCGGCUAACUACGUGCCAGCCGCCGCGGUAAAAC
rnacentral:rRNA from 1 species